rnacentral:rRNA from 1 species
UACGGGGGGGGCAAGCGUUGUUCGGAAUUACUGGGCGUAAAGGGCUCGUAGGUGGCCAACUAAGUCAUACGUGAAAUCCCUCGGCUUAACCGGGGAACUGCGUCUGAUACUGGAUGGCUUGAGGUUGGGAGAGGGAUGCGGAAUUCCAGGUGUAGCGGUGAAAUGCGUAGAUAUCAGGAGGAACACCGGUGGCGAAGGCGGUUCUCUGGGCAUUACCUGACGCUGAGGAGCGAAAGUGUGGGGAGCGAACAGG